GCAGUCGACGGUAGCACAGAGAGCUUGCUCUCGGGUGACGAGUGGCGGACGGGUGAGUAAUGUCUGGGAAACUGCCUGAUGGAGGGGGAUAACUACUGGAAACGGUAGCUAAUACCGCAUAACGUCGCAAGACCAAAGAGGGGGACCUUCGGGCCUCUUGCCAUCAGAUGUGCCCAGAUGGGAUUAGCUAGUAGGUGGGGUAACGGCUCACCUAGGCGACGAUCCCUAGCUGGUCUGAGAGGAUGACCAGCCACACUGGAACUGAGACACGGUCCAGACUCCUACGGGAGGCAGCAGUGGGGAAUAUUGCACAAUGGGCGCAAGCCUGAUGCAGCCAUGCCGCGUGUAUGAAGAAGGCCUUCGGGUUGUAAAGUACUUUCAGCGGGGAGGAAGGUGUUGUGGUUAAUAACCACAGCAAUUGACGUUACCCGCAGAAGAAGCACCGGCUAACUCCGUGCCAGCAGCCGCGGUAAUACGGAGGGUGCAAGCGUUAAUCGGAAUUACUGGGCGUAAAGCGCACGCAGGCGGUCUGUCAAGUCGGAUGUGAAAUCCCCGGGCUCAACCUGGGAACUGCAUUCGAAACUGGCAGGCUAGAGUCUUGUAGAGGGGGGUAGAAUUCCAGGUGUAGCGGUGAAAUGCGUAGAGAUCUGGAGGAAUACCGGUGGCGAAGGCGGCCCCCUGGACAAAGACUGACGCUCAGGUGCGAAAGCGUGGGGAGCAAACAGGAUUAGAUACCCUGGUAGUCCACGCCGUAAACGAUGUCGAUUUGGAGGUUGUGCCCUUGAGGCGUGGCUUCCGGAGCUAACGCGUUAAAUCGACCGCCUGGGGAGUACGGCCGCAAGGUUAAAACUCAAAUGAAUUGACGGGGGCCCGCACAAGCGGUGGAGCAUGUGGUUUAAUUCGAUGCAACGCGAAGAACCUUACCUGGUCUUGACAUCCACAGAACUUUCCAGAGAUGCAUUGGUGCCUUCGGGAACUGUGAGACAGGUGCUGCAUGGCUGUCGUCAGCUCGUGUUGUGAAAUGUUGGGUUAAGUCCCGCAACGAGCGCAACCCUUAUCCUUUGUUGCCAGCGGUUAGGCCGGGAACUCAAAGG
rnacentral:rRNA from 1 species